rnacentral:piRNA from 1 species
UAGAUGUCAGGGAACUUGACGGAGGUC